rnacentral:rRNA from 1 species
GACGAACGCUGGCGGCGUGCUUAACACAUGCAAGUCGAACGGAAAGGCCCUGCUUUUGUGGGGUGCUCGAGCGGCGAACGGGUGAGUAACACGUGAGUAACCUGCCCUUGACUUUGGGAUAACUUCAGGAAACUGGGGCUAAUACCGGAUAGGAGCUCCUGCUGCAUAGUGGGGGUUGGAAAGUUUCGGCGGUUGGGGAUGGACUCGCGGCUUAUCAGCUUGUUGGUGGGGUAGUGGCUUACCAAGGCUUUGACGGGUAGCCGGCCUGAGAGGGUGACCGGCCACAUUGGGACUGAGAUACGGCCCAGACUCCUACGGGAGGCAGCAGUGGGGAAUAUUGCACAAUGGGCGGAAGCCUGAUGCAGCAACGCCGCGUGCGGGAUGACGGCCUUCGGGUUGUAAACCGCUUUCGCCUGUGACGAAGCGUGAGUGACGGUAAUGGGUAAAGAAGCACCGGCUAACUACGUG